GGGAGAGGAAUGCUGGCCUGGAGGAGGAAGAGGCGCGGAAUCGCCCCGAGGAAGCAAGGGAACAGGGAAUCGCCAGGGCGGUGAUCGCCAGAGAAUCCAGGCCCAAACCUGUCGAGCAGUGGCUCGAGAAGGAGAUCGGAGGGAAAAUCUUCAAGCUCGGAAGAUCUCUGGAGGUCGAUCUCCAGGACCAGAUCGCCAAGGUGAUUGAGCGGCAUCUGG
rnacentral:lncRNA from 1 species